rnacentral:rRNA from 1 species
CGCGGUAAUUUGACCGUGCGAAGGUAGCAUAAUCAAUAGUCUUUUAAUUGAAGGCUGGAAUGAAUGGUUGGACAAGAAGCAUUCUGUCUUUUUUAUAAGGAUUGAAUUUAACUUUUAAGUGAAAAGGCUUAAUUGAUUUAAGGGGACGAUAAGACCCUAUAAAACUUUAUAUUAAUAUAUUAGUUUUUAAAUUUAAGUUUAAAGUAUACUAGUGUUAGGGAUAUUAUGUUGGGGCGACAAGAAUAUAAUUGUAACUGUUUGUUAGUUGAAAUAGGUAUUUUUAGAGAAUUUUGAUCCUUUAAUGGGGAUUAUAAGAAUAAGUUACUUUAGGGAUAACAGCGUUAUUUUUUCUGAGAGUUCUUAUCGACGAAAGUAGUUGCGACCUCGAUGUUGAAUUAAAGUUUCAGUGGGGUGUAGAAG